rnacentral:rRNA from 1 species
GUGGGGAAUAUUGGACAAUGGGCGAAAGCCUGAUCCAGCCAUGCCGCGUGUGUGAAGAAGGUCUUCGGAUUGUAAAGCACUUUAAGUUGGGAGGAAGGGCAGUAAGUUAAUACCUUGCUGUUUUGACGUUACCGACAGAAUAAGCACCGGCUAACUUCGUGCCAGCAGCCGCGGUAAUACGAAGGGUGCAAGCGUUAAUCGGAAUUACUGGGCGUAAAGCGCGCGUAGGUGGUUUUGUAAGUUGGAGGUGAAAUCCCCGGGCUCAACCUGGGAACUGCCUACAAAACUGCAUGACUAGAGUACGGUAGGGGGUAGUGGAAUUUCCUGUGUAGCGGUGAAAUGCGUAGAUAUAGGAAGGAACACCAGUGGCGAAGGCGACUACCUGGACUGAUACUGACACUGAGGUGCGAAAGCGUGGGGAGCAAACAGGAUUAGAAACCCUGGUAGUCC